rnacentral:rRNA from 2 species
AAAUUGAAGAGUUUGAUCAUGGCUCAGAUUGAACGCUGGCGGCAGGCCUAACACAUGCAAGUCGAGCGGUAGCACAGAGAGCUUGCUCUCGGGUGACGAGCGGCGGACGGGUGAGUAAUGUCUGGGAAACUGCCUGAUGGAGGGGGAUAACUACUGGAAACGGUAGCUAAUACCGCAUAAUGUCGCAAGACCAAAGUGGGGGACCUUCGGGCCUCAUGCCAUCAGAUGUGCCCAGAUGGGAUUAGCUAGUAGGUGGGGUAACGGCUCACCUAGGCGACGAUCCCUAGCUGGUCUGAGAGGAUGACCAGCCACACUGGAACUGAGACACGGUCCAGACUCCUACGGGAGGCAGCAGUGGGGAAUAUUGCACAAUGGGCGCAAGCCUGAUGCAGCCAUGCCGCGUGUGUGAAGAAGGCCUUCGGGUUGUAAAGCACUUUCAGCGGGGAGGAAGGCGUUAAGGUUAAUAACCUCAUCGAUUGACGUUACCCGCAGAAGAAGCACCGGCUAACUCCGUGCCAGCAGCCGCGGUAAUACGGAGGGUGCAAGCGUUAAUCGGAAUUACUGGGCGUAAAGCGCACGCAGGCGGUCUGUCAAGUCGGAUGUGAAAUCCCCGGGCUCAACCUGGGAACUGCAUUCGAAACUGGCAGGCUAGAGUCUUGUAGAGGGGGGUAGAAUUCCAGGUGUAGCGGUGAAAUGCGUAGAGAUCUGGAGGAAUACCGGUGGCGAAGGCGGCCCCCUGGACAAAGACUGACGCUCAGGUGCGAAAGCGUGGGGAGCAAACAGGAUUAGAUACCCUGGUAGUCCACGCCGUAAACGAUGUCGAUUUGGAGGUUGUGCCCUUGAGGCGUGGCUUCCGGAGCUAACGCGUUAAAUCGACCGCCUGGGGAGUACGGCCGCAAGGUUAAAACUCAAAUGAAUUGACGGGGGCCCGCACAAGCGGUGGAGCAUGUGGUUUAAUUCGAUGCAACGCGAAGAACCUUACCUGGUCUUGACAUCCACAGAACUUUCCAGAGAUGGAUUGGUGCCUCGGGAACUGUGAGACAGGUGCUGCAUGGCUGUCGUCAGCUCGUGUUGUGAAAUGUUGGGUUAAGUCCCGCAACGAGCGCAACCCUUAUCCUUUGUUGCCAGCGGUCCGGCCGGGAACUCAAAGGAGACUGCCAGUGAUAAACUGGAGGAAGGUGGGGAUGACGUCAAGUCAUCAUGGCCCUUACGACCAGGGCUACACACGUGCUACAAUGGCAUAUACAAAGAGAAGCGACCUCGCGAGAGCAAGCGGACCUCAUAAAGUAUGUCGUAGUCCGGAUUGGAGUCUGCAACUCGACUCCAUGAAGUCGGAAUCGCUAGUAAUCGUAGAUCAGAAUGCUACGGUGAAUACGUUCCCGGGCCUUGUACACACCGCCCGUCACACCAUGGGAGUGGGUUGCAAAAGAAGUAGGUAGCUUAACCUUCGGGAGGGCGCUUACCACUUUGUGAUUCAUGACUGGGGUGAAGUCGUAACAAGGUAACCGUAGGGGAACCUGCGGUUGGAUCACCUCCUUA